rnacentral:lncRNA from 1 species
CGCCGACCUUCUUUCUCUACCUUGAAAGGAUUAGUAUUAAAGGAAUCUGAUCAAAUAAAAAGUUUCUUAGAGAAUUAUUACUCUGUACUAUUAUUAUCAUUAUUAUUAUUAUUAUUAUUAUCAGAGAACGCAUAUAUACAUAAAAAUUGAGAGUACAGACAAUGUAUAGGAAACAGACCCGAACGGUUAAACCAUCCAUGAGUUUCUUCAAUCUAAAAACCGUUUAAAGACUUUUAUAUUAGAAUUUAAAUGAUAAAAUACAGAAAGUAUAACUAAUUACAGCAUUUGAUAUCCGCUGAAAUGAUAAAGAUAUUCCUGGUUAGUGAGGAAGCUGUAAGGAUGAUGAAAAAUCCAAAUAGAUAAUAUUACAAAAUGGAUAGCAGGAGCACAUUGAUGAUGAAGAUGGAAAAAAUAAAAUUGGUGGUUAGCACCGUGACUUACGGUACAACGUCCGCGCUCUGACGAUGACUACAUCCCUAUAUAAUACUGGAGCAAUAAACUUGGAACUGGUCAGAAAAUAUCAUUACUCCAAUAAUCCCUUGGUGCACUUGUCUCGUCGGCUGUGUCAUGUUUAAAAAGCAUCAAUUGCUUACGACCAAUGGGAACAAAAAGAUGAAAGAGCAACAGGUGACCGUCCAAUAGCUGGUUGAAUCCAAAACCAACACCAGUGUUACUCACCAGUAUAUACAUCGGAUUUUCACCUUUAUAUGUGUAGUAUUAUAUACGUGGAUGGAUAAUACAUUACUACAUCGACGGAUUUUACCAUCAUGUAAACUGAAUUUCAUUACAGUAUACUAACAAACAUCUAGAUACUCCACACGCAACAAUUUUACCAGAUAUAUGUGUGUAUAUUGCGUUAUAUUGUGUAUAUAUAUUUAUAUAUAUAUUCGUUUAUUCAAGUUCAAGUUGAUUGUCUUACUCAUCUUUCACCGUCAUACAUGUAUAUAGAUAAAUAGUGGAAAUGAAAAAAUAAACAAGACGUAUAAAGUGAUCGUUCAAAGUCUAGACGUUCAGACGUAGUAUUGAGAAGGGAUGUAGAAAAGUGGAGGGAUGAUGAAGAACCAAAUAGUAGAAAGGGGAAGGGGAAAAGAGUGUCGACUUGUUGUACCUAUAGCAACCUAUAGAGUAGAGAGAACUGGACAACUAUACACGAUACACGAGUGGAGGGUCUGAACACCUGGCUUACCUGGAGUAUAGACACUAAUACACUCUAUAAAUACCUAUAGAUUAUUCACACAUAGACACAUAGACACGUAGACACGUAAAAACUCACCUUUCCCUUUGAUUCUCCUACCUGGGCCUGCAUUUUACAGUUGUAUUGCUCAUUGUCCACUAAAGAAACUACCAAACCCCUAAAAUUUUUAAACUCAAUAAUAUUUUUGUAUUUCAUUAUUUUAUUACGCUUGGAAAAAUCUAAAAAGUACAAGUGGAUUU